CCUACGGGCGGCAGCAGUGGGGAAUAUUGCACAAUGGGCGCAAGCCUGAUGCAGCCAUGCCGCGUGUGUGAAGAAGGCCUUUGGGUUGUAAAGCACUUUCAGCGGGGAGGAAGGCGUUAAGGUUAAUAACCUUGUCGAUUGACGUUACCCGCAGAAGAAGCACCGGCUAACUCCGUGCCAGCAGCCGCGGUAAUACGGAGGGUGCAAGCGUCAAUCGGAAUUACUGGGCGUAAAGCGCACGCAGGCGGUCUGUCAAGUCGGAUGUGAAAUCCCCGGGCUCAACCUGGGAACUGCAUUCGAAACUGGCAGGCUAGAGUCUUGUAGAGGGGGGUAGAAUUCCAGGUGUAGCGGUGAAAUGCGUAGAGAUCUGGAGGAAUACCGGUGGCGAAGGCGGCCCCCUGGACAAAGACUGACGCUCAGGUGCGAAAGCGUGGGGAGCAAACAGGAUUAGAUACCCCGGUAGUC
rnacentral:rRNA from 1 species